GACGAACGCUGGCGGCGUGCUUAACACAUGCAAGUCGAACGGAAAGGCCCCUUCGGGGGUACUCGAGUGGCGAACGGGUGAGUAACACGUGAGUAACCUGCCCUUGACUUCGGGAUAACUUCAGGAAACUGGGGCUAAUACCGGAUAGGAAUCCUUGCUGCAUGGUGGGGGUUGGAAAGCUUCGGCGGUUUUGGAUGGACUCGCGGCUUAUCAGCUUGUUGGUGGGGUAGUGGCUUACCAAGGCUUUGACGGGUAGCCGGCCUGAGAGGGCGACCGGCCACAUUGGGACUGAGAGACGGCCCAGACUCCGACGGGAGGCAGCAGUGGGGAAUAUUGCACAAUGGGCGGAAGCCUGAUGCAGCAACGCCGCGUGCGGGAUGACGGCCUUCGGGUUGUAAACCGCUUUCAGCAGGGGCGAAGCUUGUGGUGACGGUACCUGCAGAAGAAGCACCGGCUAACUACGUG
rnacentral:rRNA from 1 species